GAUUUGAUAGUUUAAUAAAAACAUUGGUCUUGUAAACCAAAAAUGAAUAAACAUAUUCUCAAGCCA
rnacentral:tRNA from 1 species